AUUGAACGCUGGCGGCAUGCCUUACACAUGCAAGUCGAACGGUAACGGGCCUUCGGGUGCCGACGAGUGGCGAACGGGUGAGUAAUACAUCGGAACGUGCCCGAUCGUGGGGGAUAACGAGGCGAAAGCUUUGCUAAUACCGCAUACGAUCUACGGAUGAAAGCAGGGGACCGCAAGGCCUUGCGCGGACGGAGCGGCCGAUGGCAGAUUAGGUAGUUGGUGGGAUAAAAGCUUACCAAGCCGACGAUCUGUAGCUGGUCUGAGAGGAUGAUCAGCCACAGUGGGACGGAGACACGGCCCAGACUCCAAGGGGAGGCAGCAGGGGGGAAUGUGGGAAAGAGGGCGCAAGCCGGAUCCAGCCUGCCCGGGGGAAGGAUAAAGCCUUUCGGGUGUAAAACUGUUUUUGUAGGAAACAAAAACCUUUUUUUAAAUACGGGGGGGUCAGGACGGAACCGAAAAAAAAAGCCCCGGCUAACUACGUG
rnacentral:rRNA from 1 species